rnacentral:lncRNA from 1 species
AAUAAUAUUUAAUAAAUAUUAAAUAGUAUUUAGGAAUACAUUUCUGUCAUGUCUAUACAUGAUAUAUCUUUGCUUAAGAAAUAUAUUUAGAAAUACGUGGUCACAUACUAUGAUUUCUACCACCAUUUUUUUCUCUUUUUAGUUAUUUAUUUAUUUAUUGCUCUUUUGCUUUAAGGUUAGACAUGAUCAUGACUGUCAAUUGAGUGGACCUAUACUCCUGAGUGCUUUACUAGCCAAUUCUUGAUCAGAAUCUUACAAGACUUCCUCCCAUCAGCACAUUCUCUAGCAAGAGAUGAAAAUAUGGCCAUCGAAGAUGUCUUCAUGAUCAAAUUCUACACACUGAUGUAUCCCCACUAUAUUUGGAGCUAAAAAAUGUUGCUGCUAUUGGUAGUAGUGGUGAUCCCAUAGAGGAAGAUCCUUCCAGCAAGAGCAUGGCCGACUUGGCCAUCGGGAGAGUUAACGGGUGUGAGAGAAGAGGAUCGAAGGAGAAGAGAAAGG